rnacentral:rRNA from 1 species
UACGAAGGGGGCGAGCGUUGUUCGGAUUUACUGGGCGUAAAGGGCGCGCAGGCGGCUCAUUUUGUCAGGCGUGAAAGCCCCGGGCUCAACCUGGGAACUGCGCUUGAAACGGGUGGCUAGAGAUCGGGAGAGGAGAGUGGAAUUCCCAGUGUAGAGGUGAAAUUCGUAGAUAUUGGGAAGAACACCGGUGGCGAAGGCGGCGACCUGGUCCGAUACUGACGCUGAGGCGCGAAAGCGUGGGGAGCAAACAGG